rnacentral:rRNA from 14 species
GCUUAUAGUGAUAGCAUCCUGAACAUGACCACUCUCAUCUGAUCUUGGAAGCAAAGCAGAGUCGAGCCUGCUUACUACUUGGCUGUAAUCU